CAGGGAGAAAGAGACAAGUAAUUGGUCACCAUUCUAACAUCAGUGUCUUUUCUUAUUCUCCCUCUGUGUCUCUUUUCCUACAAGGACAUGUACAGGUGCCCAGUGCUGAGGGUCCCUCUGUUACCUUACAGGAAGCGAGAUGCUGCUGGCUCAGUGGCUGCCCGUUCUUAGCUUAGUUAACCUGGUAUGGCAGACAGUCGAGCUUUGCACAACUGGCUGGGCCUGGAUGGGAGACCACUUGGAGACCUCAGCAGCACCAGAAAGACCAGUGCCUAUCAGCUCAGUAUGUAAGAGUGCGUUACGAAAAACUGAAGAAAUCCAAGAGGACGGGGAGGACGAGGAGCAGAGGAGAUGAGGACAGAAAGACAAAAGGGAGAAAACGGGUACCAGUAAUUGCUGACAAUGAGCAACAUCUUAAGAGAGAGAGAACCUGAUUUUAUAAUCUGUUUACUACACAGGUAUGUUUUCCAAUCUAUAACGCACCACUGGUUCCCCAAAGAAAAAUGCAGAUCACCAUACUCGUCCUCUCUCUCCUCUCUCUCAUUAGGGGGAAAUUGGGACACAUUUACCAUUCUUACUAGAUUAAGCAGAGAAAGUACCUUGUUUUACUUUUUUCUUUUUUGGAUUGAGCCUUCAUAUUCAUUAAACACCCAUACAGCACCCCCAUUCCUCCAGCUACAGUUUAAUGAUCCUACUGUUCACUAUUUCCUUCUUUAGCAGCCAGUGGGAAAGGAGUAUUAAUGUGAAAGUGUUAUAUAUUAUAUGUAUUAAACUGCAGUUAGUAGCUUUUGAGGUGUCAAGACUGAGUGGAAUGUCAGCUCCAAAUAGCAGUCAUCAGAUACAAUUGUGUGAAACGUGGGGAAAUGAGACUUAAUUGCAGAGAAGCUAAUGUUUGAUAAUGAUCCCAGCAGCACCUGGAUAUG